GAUGAACGCUGGCGGCGUGCUUAACACAUGCAAGUCGAACGAAGCUCCUUUGCUUGAGAUUUCGGUCAAGAGGAAAGGAUGACUUAGUGGCGGACGGGUGAGUAAUGCGUGAGCAACCUGCCCUUCAGAGGGGGACAACAGUUGGAAACGACUGCUAAUACCGCAUAAUGUAUUCGGGAGGCAUCUUCUGAAUACCAAAGAUUUAUCGCUGAAGGAUGGGCUCACGUCUGAUUAGCUAGUUGGUAGGGUAACGGCCUACCAAGGCGACGAUCAGUAGCCGGACUGAGAGGUUGGCCGGCCACAUUGGGACUGAGGUACGGCCCAGACUCCUACGGGAGGCAGCAGUGGGGAAUAUUGGGCAAUGGGCGCAAGCCUGACCCAGCAACGCCGCGUGAAGGAAGAAGGCUUUCGGGUUGUAAACUUCUUUUGGCAGGGACGAAGAAAGUGACGGUACCUGCAGAAUAAGCUCCGGCUAACUACGUGCCAGCAGCCGCGGUAAUACGUAGGGAGCGAGCGUUAUCCGGAUUUACUGGGUGUAAAGGGCGCGUAGGCGGGAAUGCAAGUCAGAUGUGAAAUCUCCGGGCUCAACCCGGAAACUGCAUUUGAAACUGUAUUUCUUGAGUGAUGGAGAGGCAAGCGGAAUUCCUAGUGUAGCGGUGAAAUGCGUAGAUAUUAGGAGGAACACCAGUGGCGAAGGCGGCUUGCUGGACAUUAACUGACGCUGAGGCGCGAAAGCGUGGGGAGCAAACAGGAUUAGAUACCCUGGUAGUCCACGCCGUAACGAUGAAUACUAGGUGUGGGGGGACUGACCCCCUCCGUGCCGGAGUUAACACAAUAAGUAUUCCACCUGGGGAGUACGACCGCAGGUGAAACUCAA
rnacentral:rRNA from 1 species